GUAAGCUACUAAGAGCGAACGGUGGAUGCCUUGGCUAGUAGAGGCGAUGAAAGACGUGCCAGGCUGCGAUAAGUCUCGGGGAGCCGUCAAGGGGCUUUGAUCCGGGAAUUUCUGAAUGGGGCAACCCAAUACAUAGCGAUAUGUGUUACCAUUAACGGAGCCAACGCGGGGAACUGAAACAUCUAAGUACCCGCAGGAAGAGAAAUCAAUAGAGAUUACGCUAGUAGCGGCGAGCGAACGCGUAAGAGGGCAAACCACUAGUUUACUAGUGGGGUUGUAGGACCGCAACAUAGACUAGGAUCUGAUAAUAGAACAAUCUGGAAAGGUUAGGCAUAGAGGGUGAUACUCCCGUAUAUGAAAUCACAUCCUUACUUAGCGGUAUCCUGAGUAGGACGGGACACGUGAAAUCCUGUCUGAAGCCGGGUCGACCACGAUCCAACCCUAAAUACUACUACUAGACCGAUAGCGUACAAGUACCGUGAGGGAAAGGUGAAAAGAACGGCGGUGAGCCGAGUGAAAUAGAACCUGAAACCGUUUGCUUACAAUCAUUCAGAGCACUAUGCUAUACUCUUUAAAAUUAAUCCAGCUUGGCUUUUUAGCCCUUUUUUAUGAAACUGCGACUGCGGUAGCCAGAUCCGGCUAGCCUUGCCUUGUUUCAUAAAAAAUCAUCUAAAAAUCCUGCGCAUUUGAAAUUCUAAAUUUUGAUUUGAUAAAAUUUACAAGUAGAAUUUUAUGGUCUAAAUUUAGAAGUAACGAUUAACGAUUAGUUUUAAUGAGUAUAGCAGUGUGAUGGACUGCCUUUUGCAUAAUGAGCCUGCGAGUUGUGGUGUCUGGCGAGGUUAAGGAAACCCGGAGCCGUAGCGAAAGCGAGUCUUAAUAGGGCGAUUAGUCAGAUGCUGCAGACCCGAAACGAUGUGAUCUAUCCAUGAGCAGGUUGAAGCCGGUGUAAGAGCCGGUGGAGGACCCAACCGACGGCCGUUGAAAAGGCUCCGGAUGACUUGUGGAUAGGGGUGAAAGGCCAAUCAAACAUCGUGAUAGCUGGUUCUCUCCGAAAUAUAUUGAGGUAUAGCGUCGUGUAGUAGUUAUAAGGGGUAGAGCACUGAAUGGGCUAGGGCAUACACCAAUGUACCAAACCCUAUCAAACUCCGAAUACUUAUAGCGUAACCACGGCAGUCAGGCGGCGAGUGAUAAAAUCCGUCGUCAAGAGGGAAACAACCCGGACUAACAGCUAAGGUCCCCAAAUCUCAUUUAAGUGGAAAACGAUGUGAAGUUACUGAAACAACCAGGAGGUUGGCUUAGAAGCAGCCAUCCUUUAAAGAUAGCGUAAUAGCUCACUGGUCUAGUGAUUUUGCGCGGAAAAUAUAACGGGGCUAAAAUGAGUACCGAAGCUUUAGACUUGCACUUAAUCAUUUAUACUUGGCUUGGCUUUUGAGCGUCUUUAAAUGAGCUCGUAAAAAUAAAUGCUCACGAACUAUAUGUUCGCUCCGCUUUAUUUUUACGUCGCAACAUUUAAAUCCAUCUCAAAAAUCCUGCGCCAUCUUGAGUUCAAAUUUGAACUAAAUGUCUUAAUCUAAAAUUCUAUAAAUUUCAAAUUUCUUAGAAUUUUAAAAUUUAGCAACAUAAAGCAAAAAGACAAGCCGCAAGAAAAGUAUAAAUCAUUAAGUGCAAGUGGUAGGAGAGCGUUCCAAUCAGCGUCGAAGCCGUACCGGUAAGGAGCGGUGGAGCGGUUGGAAGUGAGCAUGCAGGCAUGAGUAGCGAUAAAAUACGUGAGAAUCGUAUUCGCCGUAAACCCAAGGUUUCCUACGCGAUGCUCGUCAUCGUAGGGUUAGUCGGGUCCUAAGCAAAGUCCGAAAGGGGUAUGCGAUGGAAAAUCGGUUAAUAUUCCGAUACCGAUAUCAGUGUGCGACGGAAGGACGCUUAAAGUUAGUGGAGCUAGCGGAUGGAAGUGCUAGUCUAAGGAAGUAGGUUGAGUUAUAGGCAAAUCCGUAACUCUUUAUCCGAGAUCUGAAAGGCUUCUGACGCUCUUCGGAGUAGAUGAAGAAUCCAUGAUACUAUCGAGCCGAGAAAAGUUUCUAAGUUUAGCUGAUAUCGCCCGUACCGUAAACCGACACAGGUGGGUGGGAUGAGUAUUCUAAGGCGCGUGGAAGAACUCUCUUUAAGGAACUCUGCAAAAUAGCACCGUAUCUUCGGUAUAAGGUGUGCCUAGCUUCGUUAAGAAUUUACUUCGUAAGCGAAGAAGGUUACAACAAAGAGUCCCUCCCGACUGUUUACCAUAAACACAGCACUCUGCUAACUCGUAAGAGGAUGUAUAGGGUGUGACGCCUGCCCGGUGCUCGAAGGUUAAUUGAUGACGUUAGCUUACGCAAAGCGUCUGAUCGAAGCCCGAGUAAACGGCGGCCGUAACUAUAACGGUCCUAAGGUAGCGAAAUUCCUUGUCGGUUAAAUACCGACCUGCAUGAAUGGCGUAACGAGAUGGGAGCUGUCUCAAAGAGGGAUCCAGUGAAAUUGUAGUGGAGGUGAAAAUUCCUCCUACCCGCGGCAAGACGGAAAGACCCCGUGGACCUUUACUAUAGCUUGACACUGCUACUUGGAUAAAGAUGCGCAGGAUAGGUGGGAGGCUUCGAUUCGUAGAUCUCGGUUUACGAUGAGCCAUUGUUGAGAUACCACUCUUCUUUAUUCGGGUAGCUAACUAGCCUAAGUUAUCCUUAGGUAGGACAAUGUCUGGUGGGUAGUUUGACUGGGGCGGUCGCCUCCCAAAAUGUAACGGAGGCUUACAAAGGUUGGCUCAAAGCGGUUGGAAAUCGCUUGCAGAGUAUAAAGGCAAAAGCCAGCUUAACUGCGAGACAUACACGUCGAGCAGAGACGAAAGUCGGUCUUAGUGAUCCGGUGGUUCUGUGUGGAAGGGCCAUCGCUCAAAGGAUAAAAGGUACCCCGGGGAUAACAGGCUGAUCUCCCCCAAGAGCUCACAUCGACGGGGAGGUUUGGCACCUCGAUGUCGGCUCAUCGCAUCCUGGGGCUGUAGUCGGUCCCAAGGGUUGGGCUGUUCGCCCAUUAAAGC
rnacentral:rRNA from 1 species